AUGUGAUUUGGGCUAGGUGGCAUUGGAUUUGGGACAUUUUUGCUGAUGUGGCAACUUAUAUUUUUGAGUUUAGGAGGGAAUUCUCAAAUGCCUUCAUCAUUCACGAUUUUAACAAAAAAGUGGCGGGAUCCGGCUGUGAUUCGGGUCACCCAAUAUUAAAAAACGGAUCCUAUAUAUCAUCUUUACCAGACCACCAUAUCUCAUAACCUCACUUUUCACAAACCCUACAUACCAUUUCCUAAAUCUGCUUCUUCGUUUUUCAGAGAUUCAUCGUCCUUAGGUAUGUUAUUAUGCCAUUCCUUCUUUGUUUUCGUAUUGUUAAUCUAAUACAUCUUUGAUUUUUUUCGAUUUCAUCAACUAUCUUACAUAUUCAGAUGAGAUUCAUAAGGACGACAAUGUUUUGAUGCUUUCUUCAUCUUCAUGUAAAUGCUAUUUGUUUCAUGUUUCCAGAUUUGAAGAGAUCGAUUUGUUUGCUGUUUAAUAAUGAUUUACGAUGUGUUUUGUCAUAUCUAGGAUUUGCUUGUGGUCUUUCGUAUCCGUCAAAACCCUAAUCGACCGGAGAAAUCGUCAAAAGUUCUUCACAAUAUGAUCGUUCCACAUAAUUUGCAGAUAUGCAUCCCUUGCACAACAGUCCUUCAUUUUUAAAGCUUAUUGAUAAAGAUGACCCGAUAUUUUUGGUGAAGAGCUUCUUUCAGACUCCUUCCCCUACAAGGAACUAUUGAAUGGGUUCCUAUGAGAAGUUGAAGAAAAGUUAUGGAUAAUGAAAACAACGCUCCUUCGUUAUUAAAGUCGAUUGAGGACUAUGAUCCUAUAUUUUUCGAAUUCUUCGUCGACCAAAAAC